rnacentral:snRNA from 1 species
AUUGCUUCUCGGCCUUUGGGCUAAGAUCAAGUGUAGUAUCUGUUCUUAUCAGUUUAAUAUCUGAUACGUCCUCUAUCCGAGGACAAUAUAUUAAAUGGAUUUUUGGAGUAGGGAGAUGAAAUAGGAGCUUGCUCUGUCCACUCCACGCAUCGACCUGGGUGCACCCCCU